AUUGAACGCUGGCGGCAUGCUUUACACAUGCAAGUCGAACGGUAGAGGGGGCAACCCCUUGAGAGUGGCGAACGGGUGAGUAAUGCAUCGGAACGUGCCCAGUCGUGGGGGAUAACGCAGCGAAAGCUGUGCUAAUACCGCAUACGAUCUCUGGAUGAAAGCGGGGGACCGAAAGGCCUCGCGCGAUUGGAGCGGCCGAUGUCAGAUUAGGUAGUUGGUGGGGUAAAGGCCUACCAAGCCAACGAUCUGGAGCUGGUUUGAGAGGACGACCAGCCACACUGGGACUGAGACACGGCCCAGACUCCUACGGGAGGCAGCAGUGGGGAAUUUUGGACAAUGGGCGCAAGCCUGAUCCAGCAAUGCCGCGUGCAGGAAGAAGGCCUUCGGGUUGUAAACUGCUUUUGUACGGAACGAAACGGUCUGGGUUAAUACCCUGGGCUAAUGACGGUACCGUAAGAAUAAGCACCGGCUAACUACGUGCCAGCCGCCGCGGUAA
rnacentral:rRNA from 1 species